UAUAAAUAUGAUCUAAAAGUUGAUCCACGUAACAUACAUGUGGACUUUGUCUAGUGGAAUCUGUAUAUGAUUGAUAAUAAGUUAUAAGUUAUUAACUCCUGGUCGUCUCGAGAAAUCCAAUUUUUUUCUUUAUUUUUUAAAACUAUUUCUUCCUUUUUAUUUUUGGAUGCGGUGUCUUUGCUUUUAAGUGGCUCUCUAGUUCUUCUUUCUCAGGAACUCUCUCUCUCUCUCUCUCACUGGUUUUUGCAGCUUCUUUAUCUGAAAGUGGGUUUUCUUUCCUUUGCAUGUUACUAUUUUAUUUAUUUAUGUUCUUAUUUUUUGGCUUGGUGGUUGUUUAGUUUGUAGGGUUUCGCUUUGGCAAUCGAUGCCUAGGGUUUUUUAAUUGCAUGCUUGAAUUCUUUUUGUGUUUUCAUGUGCUCAAGUUUGAGUUUUUAUACGGUUGUUUUCUUCUGGGUUUUUGUUGCUGUUGUUCUUGUGUUUCUGACUUCAGAAUUAAGAACUUAUUCAUGCACCAAAACAUAGUUAAGAAACAAUUGGAAAAAAAAAAUUUGAAUUAUUAAAUAUUAGAUUCAGCUCAGCUUACAUGUUCCAGGAACAUCUGCGUGAAAGAUUUAUCCUUUUUCUGUACAUCAGUACAUCAGUCCCAAUUUGUAAGAAUUAAGGUUAAAAGUUUGUAUUUUGACUAUUUUCUUAACCCUUUUUAUGCAAAAAAAUUAUGGCCUGAAGUGUAAGAUUGACUUUCAAAGCAUUUUGAAAAAUUAAUUUAGCAUUAGACUUAAGCUUAUAUUUUUGGUACUAGAUUUCAUGGAAUUUACUUUGUUUUCAAGAUGGAGAUGAUCCAUGCUCACAAGAACUAGUUUUAGAUUUUUCCAUUAAUUUCUCAAAGCUUUUGUACAUUUUAUUCGGUGUUGUAUAAUUUAUGAUGAAUAUUUUCUACCUCUUGGGUAGCAGUUUAAUUUCCAUUGAAAAUUAGAUGGUUUCUGGUUGUAGAUAGUUUUCUUAGAAAUCUCUAGAUGUUUCUGAUAGUAUUUUGCAUGUUAUGUUGUGUUCUUACUUCUUAAUUUCAUGUUCUAUGUGUCCCUAAAAGAUCAUUCUUGAUCUGUAAUUAUAGGGUAGGUCCUAGAUAUUCUCUAGUCAUACUUGAUAAUUUUUCAACCAAGCACCAUAGUUCCGGUAUAUGUCAGACUUCUUUGGAGUCGAUCAUGAUACUACUGUACUAGGUCUGUAUUUUCUGUGCUAACAAUCUAGGUCAGUUGGUGUUAUUGGGGAUAUCAGAUAUUGGUUAGUAUUUUAUAUAUAUGUAUGCAUGUAUAAAGUUUGUGUGUAUAAAGUUCAUUUUAAUUUCUCACCCUUUAUUUUCCCCCCAAUUUAUGUGUGGAAAUUUGAUCGCAUGUGGAAGAUUCCUUGACAAUUGUUGUGGUUGUUAGAACAUUAUAAACUGCUCUUUUCCGUAGCUACUGAUGUCUAAUUUGAGCUAUGGUUUGAUGUUGUGUGACAACGAGAGAGAGCACGCUUGUCAUCACACAUGAAAGGAUCAUGGUUGUUUACGGGCGUGCUCUCUCUUGUUGUCAUUCGGUCCACCUGCUCUAUCUUUGGCAUAUGAUAUUAAUUUGCAGGUGAUUUUGAUCUCUAACUAUACAUGCCCCAUAUGAUAUGAUAUAUAUAUUACUUGUUUUUACUUCAAUUUGUUGUAAAUUUUUUUGUGGAAUCAGUUUUUGUGAACUUAUUGAGUCCCAUGUUUGAGAUCCAAAAUAAUGUGCUCAUUCAACAAUUGUUAAAACAUUUUGACAAAACAAAAAGCUAUCGGUAAAACAUAAUAUACGGAACUUCAAUAUUCAUCCGUAGCAUAUCAAUUAAUCAUUUACCUCAACCAAUUAUUAAGUUUGUUUAGUGGCGAUCCACUUUGUGCUACCAUCUAGUGGUAUUCCUUUUACUUGUAAGUGAAAGGUCUUAGGUUUAAUUGUUGCUAAAGGCGAGUUCGAACCAAAUUAUUAUGGCUAGCACAUUGUGAGGUUUAGCCCACUCCCUCACCCCUUUAGGUUAAUAUCAAAUGUAUUAAAAAAAGUUUGCUUAGUGGGGACUUAGGAUGGGGUUGAAAAGAUUUGUGCUGAUCAUGAUGAGUGCUAGUUGUGUUUUGCCUAUUGCAGAUGUUGAAAAAUUUAGUGAAAUUUACUAAUUAUUGAUCUUGGCAAUCUUGGCUGAUUUGCCUCCUUGUUUUAAUGAUAAUUCCGCCCAAAGACCAUAACAUGUUCUUUACACAUAUGAGAAGCGAAAAAGAUAAUCAAGUUAGAUUCUAAUGAGAAUCUAUAAGUUGAAGGUUUGUUUUAUUUGAAAAGAAGGGUGGUUUUCAUAUAUGAGAAAGUAGAAGUUGAAGAUUUGUUCAAUUUGCAUCCAUUACUAUGUUUCUAACACUUCCUAAAAUAAUUUAAAAUUUUUUCUUUUUAUUUUAUUAGAUAUUUUAUUUUCUAAUUUAAAAACAUAAAUUUAUUAAACAUAAAAGCAAAGAAAAGGGUCUAUUUUGCAUAUGGGAUAGGGCAAAUUUGGAUACUUUUUUUCUUUGCACUCAUUGUUGUGCUUUUCGAACUUUCAUAGUAUAUAAACAUUCUCAGCAUUUAGUUUUAUUCAAUUUUCUCUUUUGUAUGUAGAUUCAUAAAAAUAGAGAAAAAUGUAUAUAACAAAGCAGAAGCUAUGGCCAUUGUGCCAUGGGAUCGUCGAGGAACCAAAAGGCCACAGUGGCAUGAUCAAGAUCGUCAUUGUGGUUGCAUGGCCAGAUAAUCUCUUAUUGUUCUUUGUUCCUGCGUUUAUAUAUUACUCCCAACAUAUUUUGCUUUACUAUUUUGCUUGUGUAUUUCUUCGUUUAUGUGCCAUAUAUAGGCAUUGAGUUAUUUUGUUGUCAUAUUAAUGAAAACUGUGAAAUAACGUUAAUCUGUAAUCUGUAUCCAAGAAAUCAAAAUUUGAAGUGAUUAGAUUAAUCAGAAAACACUUUUAGAUACCAUUGUUUCAUUUUAAGAGUUUCGGAUUUUUGGACUCAUGUUAUAUUGUUAUUUCACUAUCUGCGAUGGAGAUGUAAUUUCAUGUAAGGGAAGAUAAUUCAACAACGGCACUGUAUUUGUAUAUUUGUGAGGUAUCCAUUUUCUUGUCAAAUUUUCAGAGAAGAAAUGUGAUUAGUGGAUUGAAAUAUUAAAGAGGGACAAAUAAAUGGGUGAUCUAAGCAUGAAAUUGCAGGGUUGCUGAUGCUAUAUAUACCAGUGGUGAUGGUGAACUCAAUGAACAGAUCGUAUUUUGGCAAUGCUAACUUGGUAUUUGUAGGGUUUACAGUGAUGGUGAGAUGUGGUUUGCCAGCUAGUAGAUUGUGUUUUACUGGUAAGUGGAUUGACAGUGGUUUCAUAUUGCAUUGAGAUUGUAUCUUAAGUCUAACUUGUUCUUGCAGUUUCUUUCUCACAGAGGAUGAAAUAGAUCCUCUAUAUUUUGUUUUAUACUGAACUUUCGACUAGCACGUGAUGCUUAUCUCUAAUAGCAGAUUGAAUUCAUAUAUUUAUGACUUGUUUUUACUUGAAGUAUGUGUUGUUUCCCUUUAAAAUUAUUCAACAUUCGGAAAAUCUAAUGUAAUUGCAAUGCAGUAAUGCGUAAAUCAUUUUUGUCAGUCAUGCUUGGUAUGUGGUCGUAAUGUAAUUGGUUAAUGGGUAUAUAAAUUGUUACACUUUAUUAGAAUUAGGCUAAAAGUUGUUAGAUGCUCUUGAUGUACAUGAUGAUAAAUAAAUGAAAUUUUCUGAUUGAGCAAUACUUUCAGUUUGGUUAGCUAUUUGGGAUUCAGAAUUUGAUUUUGGUGGUGCUUAUUUUAUUCUUUUUACUUUUACUACUUGUGUAAUGUAGGAAAGGAUGAAUAUGGCUGGAGUUGGGUUCAUGAGUAUUCCAUUCCCCUUAUUUGUUCCAGCUCAUACCAGUAUUUUUACCAUUUUCUCACCCUUUUAUCGUUAAAUUGAAUGGUAAACUGUAAUGCUAUCAAGUAAACCAAAAAAACAUGUGCAUAUGGACUGGGCAUGAUUUUGUUGUUAAUAUGAUUGAAUGAGUCCAUUACUGGAUACGGAAGCAAAAGAUAUGAGUACUCCUUUUAUCUACUAAUAAUAAGUGGAAGACUUAAGAAUGAAGAGCAACAUUGCUAAUGCAAUAGCCGUGACAAUGGCAAAUUGGCAAUGUAUACAAAGCUAAUUUUGGUAUGGGCGGUGUGAGAGUGAAGGUUGGAGAUGCGAUUUUGCAGCUGUUGGUGUUACCUUGGUUGUAAGCGUAGCAGACUAUGUAAGAUGAGGUGCUUAAGUCUUUUCUGUUGCUUGAACCCACAAGUCUUCUCACCAAAAAAAAAACAGAGUAAUUCCGAAGUGCUUGAAUGAUCACCAGGAGUUGAAUCUGAAGACCGAGUAAGUGUUUCCUAGGUACGUCUGCUUCAACCAGCUUGUAACUCUUAAAGAGAAUUUGAUUUUACAUUUGUGCUUCAUCACGUAUACUGUUAACAUUCGAAGGGAUCCCUGGCAUAUUCUACACAUUUGGAUCAGCCUUUCUAGUUUAGCAUCUCAUUCAAGCUCAUAUUAAAACUGGGAUCUGCCGUUAUGAAGGCCGGCUUUUAUUAUUGAAACAGAUCACUCUCCCAGCAUGGACAUUAUAUGCGAAACCUGAUGGUUUGGGAGAUGCUUUUUCAGCAUCUCAUUUCCUCUGGAAUGUGUGUUCUUUUUAAAAACAAGUGGGAUUUGGAAGUCAUGUCAUCACCCAUCCCCUCCCCUCAAAGAGAGUUUUUAGCUGAGUGAAUGAAAUGAUUCCAACUUUAUUCACCGCUCUGGUCAAUUUGGGACUUAAGCGAAAGCGACUCUUCAUGCUCGUCUCACCCUCUUGUCCCGCCUUUUCCUGAAUCCAGGAUCGAGCUUCUUCCCCCAUCUGGGGUUGAUGCCCGCGGUGGAUGACAUAGCAGUGGUUUAGUAUGCCCUUAUUGCAGCCAGCACUUGGCAUUGCUUGGCGGGAAAGUACCAUCCCUUUCAACAGUAAGACCACAUCCAAUGGUUGGGGAAAAUUUAGGCAAGAUGAGUAGUGCAAUUGAAAUCCCAACUUUAGACUAUAGGAAUGUCCUUCAAAUCAAAUGAUGUAUUCUCUUCCCUAUAUCCCUGCUGUUGCUCAUUGUAAGAAGGCACUGAAGAGCUGUUUUAAGAUCACUGCUCAGCAUGGCCAAAUCAAACUCCAACCUACAAAAAGGGAUGACAUGAUAUACGGUUCAAAUUGAGAUGAAACGGCUGCUGCUUGCAUUUGAAGAUAAAAAGAAACUAAACAACGGGAUGAGAAACAAUUGUGUUUUCCUUUACCUUCUUUACAAUCUUGUUCACUUU